CUCCCGCACUCUCCUCCCCCUCCUGCCUCUUCCCUUCCCCGCCUACUCCUCCUGUCGCCGCUGCCGCCUCCGCUCCUGCUGUCGCCACAUCGCCGCCCCAAACCCCUGCCGCAUCGGAGAGAAAUCCAUGGCGGUGGACAAGCCCGGCGGCGGCGGGGCCUCCUCCUCCUCGCCCGCGUCCACCACGGACCGACCGCGUCAGCAAGAGGAGAGGAGGAGCAGCCGCAGCGCGUCCUCAGUCCGGCCUCGAUAAGAGAAGGGGAGCAGCAGCCACGCUAGCUGGCUCGCACCUCGUCGCCACCUCUCCUCACCUUCUCCCAGGUUCCUGAUCUGGAGCGGGAGGGAGGCCAGGCUACCCUUGACACGCAUAUGUGGAAUGUUCUCAUUAUCAACUCUGGAAUAACUAGCAAGUAGUGGUGUCAAUGGCAUCCGUGGGAGACAUUUUGGUGGCACAUGGACAUCACGUUCUGGAAUAAAGCCAUGGAACAAUAAAUAACUUGGCAACGGAUACCCUGUGGUCUACAAUUAUACUGUAAUUAUGUGUGCACUUUGGAUCUAUUGGAUGUCUAAAUGUAUUGUUAAUCGACAACUACUGAUGCAAAGGUAUGUUCUAUUUGUAAUAUGAAAUGAUUCUUAUUUGUACCUCCAGCAGUCCUUCUCACAUUUUCUAUUUGUAAUAUGAAAUGAUUCUUAUUUGUACCUCCAGCACUCUUCUAUCGCUCCUUUUAGAACUAAUGACAUAAAAAAUGUGGUCUGGAGUCUGGUCGUGUUUGAACAAAGUUGGUCAGAAUGAUAUAGUUGUUUUCUUCAAGUUCAUUAUAUUAAUUUUUUCAGUAUAUAGAUUAUUUAUUUGUUCACACAAUACAUGGCAGGAGAUGUGUGUCGAGAGGCACAUGAAUAUGCACGUGGGCUCUUUUUCAGCAUGGUAGUCUAAAAAACUGUGGUAUUCUCAGAACACGUAGAAAAUGCUUUGCUAUCAAACCGGGCAAGUGCAGAUUUCCUUGAAUAUAGUUUAUUUUACAAUUGUGUUGCCAACGUGCUUCCAUUGUUUUAUCACCAUAAAAUAGUUCUAGGUGCUCAUAUAAAAUUUAGUGGCGUGUAUGGGUGAUUGUAGUGCAGUUUUGUUUAUCUGCUUGCAUUUUCAGCAUUAUAGUGUUGAUAUACUAUCUCAAUAAAACAGUGAAUACGUAUAAUAUGUACAAGCUACAUUCAAGUUAUGGCAGUGUGCCUGGGUAAGAUGAACUGGUAAUCUUCUGCUAGCUGAAAAAAACUUUUUUCGUCUUUACAUGUGUUUCUUGAUGAAGCUCGUGAUUUUCAAGUUAUGGCAGUACAUAUGUCUACCCACUUGCAUGACUACCGAUAUUGUCCUUAUUUUGCUCCUCCUUAGCCUUGUUCUGUUAGUGCAGUUCUUUUAAAUAGCAGGGACAGAGUCCCAGAAAACAUGCCUGAUUGCUUUUCUUAGUGGCGCACUUGCAAGUAUAUGUGGUAGUUCUGUUAGUUUCUCAUGCUUUUCUACAAAGUGAUAGGUUAAUAAUGUCAUCAACAAUUUUUUCCUUAACUGAUCAAUAUCUUAGAAGUUGUCACUCAUUAGUUUUCUUUUCCUUAUCUGAUCUCUAGCGAGUAGAGUGAUUUAUUUUCGCAAUACCUAAUUCUGAUCAUAGGUAAUGACAGAUUUGUUUUCAUUAAAUGAGAUUCUUGUUUUGUGUUGAUUUUACAAAAUUUCUGUAGCUACAUAUUUGCUCAAUCCAAUAGACAGAUUUUAAUCAACCUUUAUUAUAAUGUAUUUCCAAUUGUUCAUAACUACAUAAAUUUUUGUUGUGAUUUUGCAAGAUUUCGAAAUUAUUGUGUUUCAAAAUUGUUAUACUGAUUCCUCAAUGCUCUGUUCAUGGCUUUGUUCUUAUUUUAUCCAAAAGACAGAUUUUACUCAACCUUCAGUAUAAUAUUUGCUUUGUUCUUAUACUGAUUCCUCGAUGCUCUGUUCAUGGCUUUGUUCUUAUUUCUGAAGCUAUAUAUUUGCUCUAUCCAAAAGACAGAUUUUACUUAAUCUUUUGCCUUUUAGAAAAAGGGAGAUGCCAUUUAGAGCUUACUCUGUCCAACUUGAUCUUCAACUUGCCGCUACUGUUCCUAAGCAUUUUCCUGAAAACUGUUGUAUUUGCUUUAGAGAAUGAGCUCACCUUACUCAGAAGAUAUGCCAAGUAAAAAAUUAGAAAUUGAACAAUUAGUUCCGCUCUUAAAUUUUGCACAACAGUCCAAAUUAUCCAAUAAAUCAUGUGUUAGCAGGGUCAAAUUAUAGAAGUUGAAUCACUUGUUCUAAAUUACCCAAUCCAAAUUAUGGAUGUUAAUAAUAUGAUUUGUGUUAGACUGUUAGUCAAAUUGUCGAAAGCCGGAGCUGGGUUGAGGAGCCGGCCUCCGCCUUUGACCAUUACGUGAGAAGCAACACCGGCGUUGGCCGUUCCGUGUGCAGAGUGUGUGAGUUAGUGAUUUAAUUCCAUCCUUUCCAUCUCAUGAUGUGAUUUUUCCUUUAGGAUGAAUUAGUAACUUUGUGUGGAGGUGGCAGCACUACCUGCUGGUUGGUGUAAUGCCGUGCUUGACAGGGUGAUUUGCAAUUCCGAGUUUGUUUAAUGGCUUAAUGUCUAAGCACUCAUCCCCUUAUUCUGUUGUGUUGUUACCAACUUGGUUUGCAAGGAACAGACCUUCAUCUGUGUACAUCAAGAUUGCUAAUUGCCAGCUGAAGGGUGAUAGUAAAGCAUGAAGAUGCCUAAGCUUAUGAGGAAGCUGCAAACUGCGACCAAAAAUUCUCACUUCAGGGUACUCUCUCUCUCUCUCGAUCUCAAAGAGGAAACGAGGCAGCCACGGCCUCCUUGCCCCCCCCCUUCUCUCCCGUGCCUCCGUGCUGCUGCAGUACUCCCGCGCUGCACACCGCUGCUGCUCCCCAACCACGGCGCUAUGAUGGUGCUUGCUCGCCUGGUCGCCGCCUCGUCUCGCCCAAUCUUGAUAUAGUCCGGGGCGGCGCCGGCACCGCUCGACCGCGUCGUUGCCUCCUCUGCGUCAUGAGAAGCGCCACCAUUGCCUCCACCCCCACUGGGCAAGGAGCUCGAGGUGUUUGGGGGUUCGUGUUUCCUACACAGGCCAAAACACUAUUGGAGCCUUGGAGUUUGAAACCAGUCGUUUGGAGCAGAUCAGCUCAAAAGAGAUCCUUUGUACCAUUUGCAGACUACCCAUCUCCCUCUGGCCUGGAGUCUCGCUCGCCUCUGUUUUCCCCCUGUGGACACACAUGAGACUCAGAUCUUGGCUCGUCGUAGAGGAAUCGAUAGCAAGAAUCAACCAGAGAAAGGAUGUAUACAAGAGCUCGAGGCAGAGAUGGCGGAGCUCGGGCGAGCUCGAGACUAUGGAUCCAGGGCUUGAGUGCUCACGGGAUGGAGGUGCUCAGGAUGGAGGCAGGGGAGGGCGCCCUGCGGGAAGUGAUUUAUGUACUCCUUGAUCAGUUUUUUUUAUAACUGAUGGCAUCUUACAUUGUUGUCUUUUACCGAUUAACUGGUUAACUCUUUUCCUAAAUGGUCUUAGAUUUCUGCUUUCUAUUUGCGCCAGUUUCUUUUUACAAGAGAUGAGAUCUUACACAAUAUAUUUUUGCCUUGGUUGAUCUAAUUAAAAUUUUCCUUCAGCACGUGCAUAUGAUGUUAAUAUAAAGCUAUUUGGAAGUACAUAUCCAUGGGCGAAAAAAUAUUAUCAUGUAUUUUGUCUGUCAUUUUGCUUGUGUUGAUGUAGUUUAUUGAGCUUUUUCACAUGUCAUGAUAUUAUGCCUUAAUUUCUACUAGGCUGCUUUUACAUUUAAAAUUAAUUGUACAAACAUUAUUUACCUAAUUUAUGGAAACAAUAAAUUUGUAGCUCAGGUCACCUAGGAGAUAAUGUAAACCAAGUCGCUCACCGGUUUAAGAUGGUGUUUAAAGAUUUACUUUGUUCCAGCGACUACUUUGGAUCAUAGGAAACUAAAAAAAAGAGGGCGCCGCCACCACCAUCAUCAGGCUGGCCCACAUCCACGCGCUGCUCGGCGUCACCAAGUCACCGGCACAACUCCUCACGCCCAGGUCGUUCAACAUUUUCUUCCGCUUUUGGUGCGUCACAUUUAGAGUCUUUCUUUCCCAUUUUACCGUGUUUGCAUGGUAAGAUAUUUGGUCGGAUUUGAAGGUUCGUAGCCUUGGCUCCAAAGCUUCAAGCUCUUAUAGAAAUUAGAACUGGGCCUUUUAAAAUAAGUCCUGCAUAAUAGUGUUGUUCAGUGGGAUGUAGAAUUUUUUUUGUCUGAUCGGCUAUCCUUGGUGCUGAUUUAAGUACCGAUUUCAUUAUCAUAUGACUACAAUAAAGGCUGUGUGUAUAAAUA